GUCUCUGAUGGGCAGUAAACCCAUAUGUUACAUUUCUUUUGGUUAGGUCCAGCUUGCUUAGCUUGAUCCAAACAAGCCAUACAACAAUCGUAUGCAGUUUCUUUGUGAUGUGUAAGGCCCCAUCUGACAGCAUCGCCACCAUAAUCAGUAUGAACUUCAGCAUGACACUGAAGAGGAAGCUGCUUGCCAGCUAUGACUUCGUAGUCAAGUUCCUCUUCACCCUCAGGUUUGUCGUCCUGUUCCGUAUUGACGAUCUGAACAGGUAUCCAGAGACCAAUUUCUU
rnacentral:misc_RNA from 1 species